CUUAUAUAGUUUUAAAUAAAACAUUAGACUGUGGCUCUAAAAACAGGGGUUUAAAUCCCCUUAUGAACC
rnacentral:tRNA from 1 species